CCGGUGGUGCCGCACGCGGCCGUACCGGGCGCCCGUUUCCGGUGGCCGGGUGCCCCGGGUUCAGCGGGCCGGGUCGCCGGU
rnacentral:tRNA from 1 species